CAACCUCCUUAAGGCCUCAUCAUGAUUCGUCUACUUAUACAAUCAAUAUUGCUCUAAAUGAACCGCAUAAAGACUUUGAGGGUGGAGGUUGUCACUUCUUAAGAUACAAGUGCUCAGUGACGGACACUCGAAUGGUUUGGAUGUUAAUGCAUCCGGGACGACUGACUCACUACCACGAAGGUCUAGAAGUUACCGAGGGAACGCGAUACAUUUGAUAUCCUUUGUCGACCCUUAAGUUCAUGCAGUGUCAGCUGCAAUCAUCUUAUAUUGUUGCUCUUCAAGGGAUGAACUCCAAUAUUUCUAAGGUUAAUUUUUACUUUUUUAUGUUGUCUGAAUAGGUAUAGAUUUAAUGUAUCAGAAAAUGCAAAUGAAGCUUUCUACAUAACAACAAUGGACAUGCAAUUAUUUUUAAUAGAGCAUCCGUUGCUUUCUUACUGAAUAGCUUUCAAAUGUCAGAAAGCACGGGAAGAACUGAGUAAAAAAUUUGCAUUAUAAUUGUUUGUGUGUUAAAAAAAAUGAAUAAAAAUCGCCAGAAAUCCUAAUUUUUUGCUGCCAUAAACCAAUUGGUUUUUUCUCUGAUAAGACUAAUUUUUAAUUUAUAAUGUCUCCCCUGUAAUUCAAAAAAUUGAUUUUUGUAGUUUAGCAGAAUAAUUUGUUUAUCCAUCUUUAAAGUAUGCCAUAAAUUUUUACCACGUUCAUCAAAUACGCAACGCAAAAACUUCUGAGUCUUUUGAAUCAAAACUUUAGUGUACAAAUUCAGCGCCACUCAUUUUUAUCGAUGAAUCAAGUCAAAAAUAAUAAUAGUUUGUUUGUUUGAGAUUUUUGUAAUUUUUCAAAAAAAAUGUUCCUACUUUAACCCAUUGAGACACGCACUCAGACUGUAAGGGAUGGAUUUUUUUUUAUUUGAUAUUCUUGAUGUGUGUAUUUUUUGAAAAUUUUCAGUCCAAGAAAUUUUUCAAUCCGACCAAUAGGAGCCGAGAUACUGAUGUCCAUAAUUGUGGACAAUAUGAUCAAAUGGGGUCAAGAAAAUCCGUUCCGAAUUUUUUCUUUAAUGGCUGAUUUCGGCAACUGUUUACCGCCGAUUGCUGACGUGGAUAUAAAAAGUCUAAGCUCCCCCGAGAGAGGCAGCACCAAUCAGGGAUAAGGCGGAGGGUUGACUGAAGGCUUAUACACCAGCGCCAACUUUAACAAUUGUCAAAAAGCUUAUGGUAGACCUCCGAAGUUCAUGUCCAUAAUUAUGGACACUGUGUCUCAAUGUGGUAAUCAUUAGGCCUUAUCCUUGCUUUAGAGUUUGCUAAUGUAAUAAGAAGCAGCAUGCUAUUUCAUGACGAUAAGC
rnacentral:lncRNA from 1 species